rnacentral:lncRNA from 1 species
ACUACAAUGGUCUCAAGGUUGGAGCAAAGUUUGUAUAAAAGUAUACAAACGAAAUAUAUGUCGAUAUAUAGUUUUAGAAACUGCUUCAAAAGGUGUUUUUGAAUGGAAGGGGUUCUUUUAGAACCAAUGAUUGAAUCCAAACCAUAAGGUCGUUAGUAGGUACUACGACGUAAUGGGGCGAUAGCUCAAGCCAUGGAAUCAAGGUCUCAUCAAAGUAUUCGAACACAAUAAAGAGACAUCAUCAAAUGUUUUUUGGAAACAUUUGAUAAGUAAAUCCCUUUUAAAUAAUAAAAGGGAUUAAUACAUAACCAAGUUAACCUACGAGCAUAAGCUCUCUCAACAAGAUGUAUAAGAUACACUAGUGAUUGACUUUAGUGCAAGUGGGAGAUUGUUGGAAAUAUGCCCUGAAAGUCAAUCUUUGGAAAGAAACCUUUCAGGACAAAUGAAUCGAUGUAUGGAUGACUCUUAUACAUCAAAUGGCAAAGAUACUAAUUAGGACUAUCUCAAUAAACGAUAUAUGUCCUAAAUAGUGUAAUCCAUGGACAAUGGAUCGAUUGAAGAAGUAAUCUAAUGAUGUUUUAGACUACAGAGACCUUCUUCACAUAACCAUUAUGUCCAAAAGGUUCCUGGUCAUUGGAUUGUCGGAGGGAUACUGACAAUGCUUAGACCGGUACAUACUGUGUCCGCUUCAAAUUGGAAGGAUGGAAAGUCUCAUCCCAUUCGUGUUGUGACACUAAGACAAGUAUGUAGGUGCUCAUUAAGGGAAUGAGUUCACUGAACACAAUCGAACGAGAGUACUUGCAUGGAGGUCUACUCACAUGUCAAGCAAGUAACUCUAAUGGUUGGAAUAAUGUAAGUAGUCCUUUGACCUGAGGCAUCGUCGUUGUCUUGUGGUUAAGUACUUAAUCUUUGAUUAUGUCAAAGUCACCCCAUUCGCGGGUGUCCACGGCAUAAUUGGGGUUAAGCCACUUAGUCAUGAAGGCAAGUGAAUGCGCAACAAGGAAUCUCUAAUCCUCGAUUAAGAGAGGAAGAAUACUCUAAGAUAUGAUUCGGGAAUCUUCGGCCGAAGUAUCGAGCGUAAUAAAGGAAAGCGUUCCUAUACGACUCAAUUGAAUCAUAUAAGAAGGAAUAAUCACAUUAGGGGUUUGACAUAAUAUAUCCAUACCCUAGUAAUGUGAUUGAGAGUAUUGUUUUAGAGAAGGAUCGAAUUACAUUGUAAUUCCAACUGAAUAGGUUCUCCGAACAAACUUCUACAUUAGCUUGGGUAGCUAUGACAUAUGGUUAGAUGUCACUCAUAGCUUGUGAGUUCUUCUAGAUGAUUAAAUGUAGUCGUCAAAAGAAAAAGGUGAAUUAAAAUGAAGUUUUAAUUCACUAAGUGAUUGGAAUUAAAUAUAAUCAAUUGGAUUGAUGCCAAUCACCUCACUGCCUUGCUAAUUAGAACCUAAAAUGAUUGUACACCGAUACACUCUUGUAGUGAGUAAUUAAUGGAUGAUGGAAAUAAUUAAUUGGAUUAAUUAAGUGUUGUGAUUAAUUUAGAAAGUCUAAAGAAAUCAUAAAAAGCGAUAAAAGAUCGUUUUGGGCUUAAAGAAACGUUCGGGUUUAAUUGGGCCCAUUGGGCCUAAACCCAUUGGGCUUUUAUUCAAGCAUUGGAUGACUUGAAAUAAUAAAAGCCCAAAGCCCAAACCAAACACUAAAGGGGCCGGCCACUUAAAGGGAAAGGGAGAGAUAUUUAGUCAAGUUGUUGACUAGGUUUCUUUUGUCUAUAUAAGGAACUUUAUAGAGAUAAAGUUCAUUAGGGUUUUUUGUGUGUUUAAAACAACAAAGAGGCAAAAAAAAUAUCUCUCUAAAACACUACAAAGGCCGGCCACCUUGGGGUGUUUUUUACUAACAUCAUCUUUCACCCUUUUGGUUAUUCCUCCAUCCAUUCUCACUACACUAGUGGGUGUGGAUCUUUAGAGGUUUCUACUUUGGAAACUUNAAGAUAUUACUAUAUCCCAGGAUCAGAACCAAAGCAACUGAAAGAGUAUUAUUGCCUUUAAGAAAGAAACAUCAGAGUGGGACUCUGGAAGCGUGCAUUCACUUAGGUUGUUAACCAAAGUGAAAAUAAGCCAUUUUAACAAAUGGAACUUCAUAAUGGAUGAAGUACUAAUCAUAUGAAUGAUUGUUAGUAUUGUACUACAAUGGUCUCAAGGUUGGAGCAAAGUUUGUAUAUAGUAUACAAAUGAAAUAUAUGUCGAUAUAUAGUUUUAGAAACUGCUUCAAAAGGUGUUUUGAAUGGAAGAGGUUCUUUUAGAACCAAUGAUUGAAUCCAAACCAUAAGGUCGUUAGUAGGAUACUACGACGUAAUGGGGCGAUAGCUCAAGCCAUGGAAUCAAGGUCUCAUCAGAGUAUUCGAACACAAGAAAGAGACAUCAUCAAAUGUUUUUGGAAACAUUUGAUAAGUAAAUCCCUUUUAAAUGAUAAAAGGGAUUAAUGCAUAACCAAGUUAACCUACGAGCAUAAGCUCUCUCAACAAGAUGUAUAAGAUACACUAGUGAUUGACUUUAGUGCAAGUGGGAGAUUGUUGGAAAUAUGCCCUGAAACUCAAUCUUUGGAAGAAACCUUUCAGGACAAAUGAAUCGAUGUAUGGAUGACUCUUAUACAUCAAAUG